GGAUGCUGCUAAACAUCUUACAACACACAGAAUGGCCCUACAACAGAAUUAUCCAGCCCGAUAUCAGUAGGGCUGAGGCUGAGAACCCCUGUGUUACAUAAGCUACCAUUGAAUUCUAAGUCAAAAUAGAAAAAUCAUACAAUCUGCUCCCUUCCGAAACAGUAUGUCAUCUGCCAAGGAUGCAAAGUAUGGUCUUAGUACCAACCGCUGGAUGCUGAGUCUGAAAUGAAUGGCUUUCCAAAGGUCCCACCAGGAGAGAUGGUUGAAGCUGUAGGUAGAGCUACUCACUGACAACCAGAAGAGGAAGAUGGAUGAUCCUGGCUCCUUGGAGACUUUGUAAUGGAGUUUUCUCCUUCACCGCAUUCCAUUUUUCCUUGCCACAGACCCUGACUUCUCACUCUCCGCAGUUGAAAUACACUCCCUUCUGUUUUGCAGAUGGCAAAUGUGACAGUGCAGUGAGCUGUGGGCUAUAAGCCAGUCUGAUGGGCACCCUAGUCUGACCUGCUGGACAGCUGAGGCAAGGAAGCUGAGAGAAGGAAUGGGUCCUGGCCCACCCGCCAGUCAGACCACAGCUUGCAGAAAUUGAAAGCACAUCCUAUCACAGGCAUAAUGAAUGUGCAGUGGGUAUGAAUAUUACCCUACAUCUUGUGCAUAAGAAAUGUCACAGUGUUUUUAUUUUUCUAAAUCAACUUCAAUUGGCUCUGAGCCCCCACUAACCAGACUGGCAGGAAAUUCCAUCUUGGUUAUGGAAUGGAAGCCCUCCUUCCCCUCCUCUGAGUUGUACCCAGGCCUUGAAGAUGUAUGACAGAGUCCAGAACAUUCAUCAAAUGCUCUGCUGGCCUUCAGCUCAUUUUCCUUAUUCAAAGAGCGCCCUGGCACGCCCUUGACGUUGGCAGCUUCCUUGUCAGGUUUUGCUUGGCGAUCUUUGCUGGGGUGGGGAGGUUCAUUCCUGACUCAUUCCCAUGGGAAGUUCUGCCAAGGUCUCACCCACAGCCCCCACCCACUGUGCACCCUGGGAACAGGACUUGGGGUCCUCUUACCCAUGCUAUCCUUAAAAGCCCCCAGCUCCUGUUAGUGCCCAGGAAAGCUAAGUAACUUUGCUCCCUCCCCUCCCUGUGGCUUCACUAUCCCCCAACUGCUCAAAUUUCACCCAUCCCUUCCCUUGUCUACAAGCGUCUAGCAUGAUGGCUCUGUCAGCCCAGAUUUUUGUCAAAGAGUGAUGUGUUGGCCCGGUUGUUUCCUUCUUAGAGCUAUGAGGGAAAAUCUUCCAGGACUCUCUCCUAGCCCCUGGUGGGUUGCUGGUGAUCUUUAGCUUCUUGGCUUCUGCUACAUCCACUCCAAUCUCUGCCUUCAUCUUCACAUGGUGCUCUCCCUGUAUACAUUCCUGUCUCCAAAUUUCCCCUUUUUAUAAGGACACCAUUCAUACUGGAUUAAGGGCUCAACAUACUCCGGGAUGAUGUCAUCUAAUUUCUAAUUAACUAAUUACCACUGCAAUGGCCCUAUUUCCAAAUAAAGUCACCUUCUGAGGUACUGGGAGUUAGGACUUCAACAUUUAGAGGGGACACCGCUGAAUCCAUAAGAAUGACCAAUUUGCUUCAGUUUGCCUGAGAUUGUCCUGGUUUUAAAGUUAAAAGUUUCAUGUCUAGGGAACUUCCUUAGUCCAAGGCAAACCAGAACAGUUGGCCACCCUAGUGACCAUGCUGAAACAACCAUGCUGACCAUGCUGAAAUAGUAACAAAAAGGGUCCAAUGCUUGUUAUUGUCUGCUGUAUAUAUUUCUCAGGAAUCUCAAAGGAAAGGUUGGCUACUGGCAGAUAAAUUUGGAAGCUCCUAGGUUCAGUGGAUGAAUGGCACUUAACUCUUGACACAAGCAGAUAUUCACCAAGUGUUGAUGGAAAUGGAAAAGACAAGUGCCCAGAGGGCUGUGCUUGGAGGUAUGGGUGGAGGAAGGAGGAGACAGAGCUGGAGUAAGGUGGGAGGAGUCACUUUUGGAAAGGAAAGGUCUGAGGGAGGGU